rnacentral:lncRNA from 1 species
CAGGGCCUUAAAGUGACAGGCACUGAAUUCGACUUGCACAUCACCAAUGCAGUAAUGACAUGAAAGAGUAGUCUGUAUCGUUUAAACUUUAUAAAUAGUAAUAGUUAAGCUUUAAUUUUGUGUAAUUAAUUGUAAAUAAUACGUUCUUUCUUGUGCAUUGUGCCAAUUCAUGUUUGUUUCAUUUCAAUUUCUAAUAAUAAUGUAAGUAAUAAUUACUAAUAAUGUAAAUGGGAAAAAAAGUAUUUAAUUGGUGUUUAUGUAGCCUAGGGGUUGGUUGGACUGUUCUGAAGGAAAUCUGACUUCAUUGCAGUAUGAAAAGGAACCAGAAUAUCCAACAGUUCUUCGUUAGCAAGAAAAGCAAACCUGAUGAAGACAGUGAACUGAUCAGAGCAGCUGAUGUUAGUAGUACCAGCAGUGGUUCAGAUAAUGUUAGCGAGUCAGAUCAGGAUGAUGACAGGCAGGGUGAAGCGACUGAGCUAGCAGCUUCACCUGAUGACCUGGAUUCAGACAAGGGUGGUGGAGACACUUCAGAUCCUUAUAAGGGUCCAUCAUCAUCAUCUUGUCUCACUGGUUGUCCACGUGCAGCUACAAACCCAACCCCUGGACCUCAUGGUGUGUACUGUAUGUUUAUCCUGGUUAAAUAUAUAUAGAAAACACAUGUUUGUAGAUUCAGACAAGGGUGGUGGAGACACUUCAGAUCCUUAUAAGGGUAUGACAUCUCAGCUAUAUCUGAUUGAAUUGCACUUGUUUUAGUUAAUACAACAAAAUGUAUUUUACAUUUAAAUUUAGGUCCAUCAUCAUCAUCUUGUCUCACUGGUUGUCCACGUGCAGCUACAAACCCAACCCCUGGACCUCAUGGUGUGUACUGUAUGUUUUAUCCUGGUUAAAAUAUAUAUAGAAAACACAUGUUUGUAUGAUUUGCUGAAUUACUUUUGUUCUUUCCAGACAUCUCCCAAUCAAGGGCAGCAGAUC